GACGAACGCUGGCGGCGUACCUAAUACAUGCAAGUCGAGCGGACUUUCAAGAAGCUUGCUUUUUGAAAGUUAGCGGCGGACGCGUGAGUAACACGUGGGCAACCUGCCUGUAAGACGGGGAUAACUCCGGGAAACCGGGGCUAAUACCGGAUAAUAUCUUUCUUCGCAUGAAGGAAGGUUGAAAGGCGGCGCAAGCUGCCGCUUGCAGAUGGGCCCGCGGCGCAUUAGCUAGUUGGUGAGGUAACGGCUCACCAAGGCGACGAUGCGUAGCCGCACUGAGAGGGUGAUCGGCCACACGGGGACUGAGACACGGCCCAGACUCCUACGGGAGGCAGCAGUAGGGAAUCUGCCGCAAUGGACGAAAGUCUGACGGAGCAACGCCGCGUGAGCGAAGAAGGUCUUCGGAUCGUAAAGCUCUGUUGUCAGGGAAGAACAAGUACCGUUCGAAUAGGGCGGUACCUUGACGGUACCUGACCAGAAAGCCACGGCUAACUACGUGCCAGCAGCCGCAGUAA
rnacentral:rRNA from 1 species